UGCUCAUGUUUCUCUUCAGAUCAAAUAAAUCUUUCGCCUUUUACUAAAGAUUUUCGUGGAGAGGGAGAACAUGGGUUUUAACUAAUUUUUUGAUGCCCCGCUUUGAUGGGGCU